AGUACGAGAGGACCGGAGUGAACCGACCGCUGGUGUGCCUGCUCUACUGCCAAGUGGACCGCAGGGUAGCUAAGUCGGGAAUGGAUAAAUUCUGAAAGCAUCUAAGAAUGAAGCCAACCCCAAGAUUAGAAACUGUUAAGGGCCCUGGGAGAUUACCAGGUUGAUAGGCGUCAGGUGUAAGACGAGCAAUCGUUUGAGCCGAGACGUACUAAUUGCCCGAUUCU
rnacentral:rRNA from 1 species